GUGUCAGCAGCCGCGGUAAUACGAAGGGGGCUAGCGUUGCUCGGAAUCACUGGGCGUAAAGCGCACGUAGGCGGAUCUUUAAGUCAGGGGUGAAAUCCCGGAGCUCAACUCCGGAACUGCCUUUGAUACUGGGGAUCUUGAGUUCGAGAGAGGUGAGUGGAACUGCGAGUGUAGAGGUGAAAUUCGUAGAUAUUCGCAAGAACACCAGUGGCGAAGGCGGCUCACUGGCUCGAUACUGACGCUGAGGUGCGAAAGCGUGGGGAGCAAACAGGAUUAGAUACCCGCGUAGUCC
rnacentral:rRNA from 1 species